GGGAGAGACGGGAACACGGGUGAGCCUGAUGACCCGUCUGCCGACUGUCAGUCGUCCUGCUCUGCAGGGCCGACAGACGGCACAGACUCCACCCUGGAGCAGAGGGACACAAAAGCCCCUCCAGAUGUGAAACUGAUG